rnacentral:rRNA from 1 species
UGGUGGAGUGAUUUGUCUGGUUUAUUCCGUUAACGAGCGAGAUCGACGCGUGAUAGUUGGGAGGGAGGGUGUGAGGGGUGUGUAGCGAAGGUGGGGCGUUGAAGGGGUGAAACCUGGAGGCGCGGACCUGCUGGAGUGAAGCCUCGGGAAAACCCUGGUUGCCUCUCUCUUAUACGGACUCUCGGGGAAAACCCGAGGGAAGAUGUCGGCAAUAACA